rnacentral:rRNA from 1 species
AAGUUUCCUUCGGGAAACGGAUUAGCGGCGGACGGGUGAGUAACACGUGGGCAACCUACCUCAUAGAGGGGAAUAGCCUUCCGAAAGGGAGAUUAAUACCGCAUAACAUUUUUGAUUGGCAUCAAUCGGAAAUCAAAGGAGCAAUCCGCUAUGAGAUGGGCCCGCGUCGCAUUAGUUAGUUGGUGGGGUAAAGGCCUACCAAGACGACGAUGCGUAGCCGACCUGAGAGGGUGAUCGGCCACAUUGGGACUGAGACACGGCCCAGACUCCUACGGGAGGCAGCAGUGGGGAAUAUUGCACAAUGGAGGAAACUCUGAUGCAGCAACGCCGCGUGAGCGAUGAAGGUCUUCGGAUCGUAAAGCUCUGUCUUUAGGGAUGAUAAUGACAGUACCUAAGGAGGAAGCCACGGCUAACUACGUGCCAGCAGCCGCGGUAAUACGUAGGUGGCGAGCGUUAUCCGGAAUUAUUGGGCGUAAAGGGAGCGUAGGCGGAUACUUAAGUGGGAUGUGAAAGACUUGGGCUCAACCCAAGGGCUGCAUUCCAAACUGAGUAUCUAGAGUGCAGGAGAGGAGAGUGGAAUUCCUAGUGUAGCGGUGAAAUGCGUAGAGAUUAGGAAGAACACCAGUGGCGAAGGCGACUCUCUGGACUGUAACUGACGCCGAGGCUCGAAAGCGUGGGGAGCAAACAGGAUUAGAUACCCUGGUAGUCCACGCCGUAAACGAUGAA